AAGUCGAACGAUGAAGGAGGAGCUUGCUCCUCCGGAUUAGUGGCGAACGGGUGAGUAAUACGUGAGCAAUGUGCCCUUGACUCUGGGAUAAGCGCUGGAAACGGCGUCUAAUACCGGAUACGACCCUCGGAGGCAUCUCCUGAGGGUGGAAAGAACUUCGGUCAAGGAUCAGCUCACGGCCUAUCAGCUUGUUGGUGAGGUAACGGCUCACCAAGGCGACGACGGGUAGCCGGCCUGAGAGGGUGACCGGCCACACUGGGACUGAGACACGGCCCAGACUCCUACGGGAGGCAGCAGUGGGGAAUAUUGCACAAUGGGCGCAAGCCUGAUGCAGCAACGCCGCGUGAGGGACGACGGCCUUCGGGUUGUAAACCUCUUUUAGCAGGGAAGAAGCGAAAGUGACGGUACCUGCAGAAAAAGCACCGGCUAACUACGUGCCAGCAGCCGCGGUAAUACGUAGGGUGCAAGCGUUGUCCGGAAUUAUUGGGCGUAAAGAGCUCGUAGGCGGUCUGUCACGUCUGCUGUGAAAACCCGAGGCUCAACCUCGGGCUUGCAGUGGGUACGGGCAGACUAGAGUGCGGUAGGGGAGAUUGGAAUUCCUGGUGUAGCGGUGGAAUGCGCAGAUAUCAGGAGGAACACCGAUGGCGAAGGCAGAUCUCUGGGCCGUAACUGACGCUGAGGAGCGAAAGCAUGGGGAGCAAACAGGCUUAGAUACCCUGGUAGUCCAUGCCGUAAACGUUGGGAACUAGAUGUGGGGACCAUUCCACGGUCUCCGUGUCGUAGCUAACGCAUUAAGUUCCCCGCCUGGGGAGUACGGCCGCAAGGCUAAAACUCAAAGGAAUUGACGGGGGCCCGCACAAGCGGCGGAGCAUGCGGAUUAAUUCGAUGCAACGCGAAGAACCUUACCAAGGCUUGACAUAUACCGGAAACGGCCAGAGAUGGUCGCCCCGCAAGGUCGGUAUACAGGUGGUGCAUGGUUGUCGUCAGCUCGUGUCGUGAGAUGUUGGGUUAAGUCCCGCAACGAGCGCAACCCUCGUCCUAUGUUGCCAGCACGUAAUGGUGGGAACUCAUGGGAUACUGCCGGGGUCAACUCGGAGGAAGGUGGGGAUGAGGUCAAAUCAUCAUGCCCCUUAUGUCUUGGGCUUCACGCAUGCUACAAUGGCCGGUACAAUGGGCUGCGAUACCGCAAGGUGGAGCGAAUCCCAAAAAGCCGGUCUCAGUUCGGAUUGGGGUCUGCAACUCGACCCCAUGAA
rnacentral:rRNA from 1 species